rnacentral:rRNA from 1 species
GUAGGUGGCAAGCGUUGUCCGGAAUUAUUGGGCGUAAAGCGCGCGCAGGCGGUCCUUUAAGUCUGAUGUGAAAGCCCACGGCUCAACCGUGGAGGGUCAUUGGAAACUGGGGGACUUGAGUACAGAAGAGGAAAGCGGAAUUCCAAGUGUAGCGGUGAAAUGCGUAGAGAUUUGGAGGAACACCAGUGGCGAAGGCGGCUUUCUGGUCUGUAACUGACGCUGAGGCGCGAAAGCGUGGGGAGCAAACAGGAUUAGAUACCCUGGUAGUCCACGCCGUAAACGAUGAGUGCUAAGUGUUAGGGGGUUUCCCGCCCCCCUUAGUGCUGCAGCUAACGCAUUAAGCACUCCGCCUGGGGAGUACGCCGCAAGGCCG